UGCAAGUCGAGCGGAAACGAGUUAUCUGAACCUUCGGGGAACGAUAACGGCGUCGAGCGGCGGACGGGUGAGUAAUGCCUAGGAAAUUGCCCUGAUGUGGGGGAUAACCAUUGGAAACGAUGGCUAAUACCGCAUGAUGCCUACGGGCCAAAGAGGGGGACCUUCGGGCCUCUCGCGUCAGGAUAUGCCUAGGUGGGAUUAGCUAGUUGGUGAGGUAAGGGCUCACCAAGGCGACGAUCCCUAGCUGGUCUGAGAGGAUGAUCAGCCACACUGGAACUGAGACACGGUCCAGACUCCUACGGGAGGCAGCAGUGGGGAAUAUUGCACAAUGGGCGCAAGCCUGAUGCAGCCAUGCCGCGUGUGUGAAGAAGGCCUUCGGGUUGUAAAGCACUUUCAGUCGUGAGGAAGGUGGUGUAGUUAAUAGCUGCAUUAUUUGACGUUAGCGACAGAAGAAGCACCGGCUAACUCCGUGCCAGCAGCCGCGGUAAUACGGAGGGUGCGAGCGUUAAUCGGAAUUACUGGGCGUAAAGCGCAUGCAGGUGGUUUGUUAAGUCAGAUGUGAAAGCCCGGGGCUCAACCUCGGAAUAGCAUUUGAAACUGGCAGACUAGAGUACUGUAGAGGGGGGUAGAAUUUCAGGUGUAGCGGUGAAAUGCGUAGAGAUCUGAAGGAAUACCGGUGGC
rnacentral:rRNA from 1 species